CUUCCAUCUAGGAAGAAUCUGGAGACAGGUGCUGCAUGGCUGUCGUCAGCUCGUGUCGUGAGAUGUUGGGUUAAGUCCCGCAACGAGCGCAACCCUUGCCUUUAGUUGCCAGCAGUUCGGCUGGGCACUCUAAAGGGACUGCCGGUGUUAAACCGGAGGAAGGUGGGGAUGACGUCAAGUCCUCAUGGCCUUUAUGACCAGGGCUACACACGUACUACAAUGGCCGAUACAAAGGGCAGCGACACUGCGAGGUGAAGCCAAUCCCGUAAAAUCGGUCUCAGUCCGGAUUGGAGUCUGCAACUCGACUCCAUGAAGUUGGAAUCGCUAGUAAUCGUGGAUCAGCAUGCCACGGUGAAUACGUUCCCGGGCCUU
rnacentral:rRNA from 1 species